rnacentral:rRNA from 1 species
GGGGGGGGGGGGCUAACCAUGCAAGUCGAGCGGCAGCGGGAAAGUAGCUUGCUACUUUUGCCGGCGAGCGGCGGACGGGUGAGUAAUGCCUGGGGAUCUGCCCAGUCGAGGGGGAUAACUACUGGAAACGGUAGCUAAUACCGCAUACGCCCUACGGGGGAAAGCAGGGGACCUUCGGGCCUUGCGCGAUUGGAUGAACCCAGGUGGGAUUAGCUAGUUGGUGAGGUAAUGGCUCACCAAGGCGACGAUCCCUAGCUGGUCUGAGAGGAUGAUCAGCCACACUGGAACUGAGACACGGUCCAGACUCCUACGGGAGGCAGCAGUGGGGAAUAUUGCACAAUGGGGGAAACCCUGAUGCAGCCAUGCCGCGUGUGUGAAGAAGGCCUUCGGGUUGUAAAGCACUUUCAGCGAGGAGGAAAGGUUGGUAGCUAAUAACUGCCAGCUGUGACGUUACUCGCAGAAGAAGCACCGGCUAACUCCGUGCCAGCAGCCGCGGUAAUACGGAGGGUGCAAGCGUUAAUCGGAAUUACUGGGCGUAAAGCGCACGCAGGCGGUUGGAUAAGUUAGAUGUGAAAGCCCCGGGCUCAACCUGGGAAUUGCAUUUAAAACUGUCCAGCUAGAGUCUUGUAGAGGGGGGUAGAAUUCCAGGUGUAGCGGUGAAAUGCGUAGAGAUCUGGAGGAAUACCGGUGGCGAAGGCGGCCCCCUGGACAAAGACUGACGCUCAGGUGCGAAAGCGUGGGGAGCAGACAGGAUUAGAUACCCUGGUAGUCCACGCCGUAAACGAUGUCGAUUUGGAGGCUGUGUCCUUGAGACGUGGCUUCCGGAGCUAACGCGUUAAAUCGACCGCCUGGGGAGUACGGCCGCAAGGUUAAAACUCAUAUGAAUUGACGGGGGCCCGCACAAGCGGUGGAGCAUGUGGUUUAAUUCGAUGCAACGCGAAGAACCUUACCUGGCCUUGACAUGUCUGGAAUCCUGCAGAGAUGCGGGAGUGCCUUCGGGAAUCAGAACACAGGUGCUGCAUGGCUGUCGUCAGCUCCUGUCGUGAGAUGUUGGGUUAAGUCCCGCCACGAGCGCCACCCCCGCCCCUUGUUGCCGCACGUAAUGGUGGGGAACUCAAGGAAGACUGCCGGUGAUAACCGGAGGAAGUGGGGAUGACGUCAGUUAUCUGGCCCCUUCGC